UACGGAGGGUGCAAGCGUUAUCCGGAUUCACUGGGUUUAAAGGGUGCGUAGGUGGGCAGGUAAGUCAGUGGUGAAAUCUCCGAGCUUAACUCGGAACUGCCGUUGAUACUAUUUGUCUUGAAUAUUGUGGAGGUAAGCGGAAUAUGUCAUGUAGCGGUGAAAUGCUUAGAUAUGACAUAGAACACCAAUUGCGAAGGCAGCUUACUACACAACGAUUGACGCUGAGGCACGAAGGCGUGGGGAUCAAACAGG
rnacentral:rRNA from 1 species